rnacentral:lncRNA from 1 species
GGGGUUACUUCCAUGGCUUGACGGGACAAUUGACAGUCCACCAAGGACUUGGCGGUCCUUCAGGUCUACCGUCAGGCCUGGGCGAUUCCGACAUCGCUUAGUAAAAUGGCCAUAACUUCCUCGUUCGAUGUCGGAUUUCAAUGAAAUUGGUAUCGAUGGAAAGAUUAUUCAAUGCUCUACAUGAAAAAAGUAUAAAUUAGAUAAAUACAACACAAUAUAAACAUCAA